CUUUAAACGCAAAAUUCACAAACUUCUAGUUCGAAGUAUUCAACAAGGUUGGUAUUAAAAUGAUCAGAAAAGAUGAAAUUUUCAGAUAAUGCAAAAAUCACAAAAUUGAAAUUUUCAUUGCAUAUACACUUUAAGCCCCGACAUUUGGUGGAUGUAAACAAGUGACGCGUGCAUGUAUACUCGGAAAAAUAUUGGCAAAUAUAUGUAAGGACUGUAAGGAGGGAGAAUGUAAAAUUUCAGCAAUUUUAAGAAAUAUAUUUUACUUAGUUAGAUCUCUGUUGCUUUGCCUACAGUUUUAUACAGACAAUGACAUCGUGAAACGAGAGAGCUCAAUAAGGAUUUGUAAACAACAGCUCAUUCAGGGCGGCAAUUACGGCUUUAAAAACUAAAUAAUAUAUAGCGGCACUUGCAGAACGGCAUGUUCAUGUGGAGGCGAGCUACCUUUCACGAUGUCAUUGUCUGUAUAAAACUGUAGGCAAAGCAACAGAGAUCUAAGUAAAAUAUAUUUCUUAAAAUUGCUGAAAUUUUACAUUCUCCCUCCUUACAUAUAUUUGCCAAUAUUUUUGAGAGUAUACACGCUUCACUUGUUUACAUCCACCAAACGUCGGGGCUUAACUCGAAUGCUUAAAUCGUUAAUUGACUUCGAGUUAAGCCCCCGACGAAAAAGGGCGUGGCAGGGGCUUAACUCGAAAAGGGCUUAACUCGGAGGGCUUAACUCGAAGGGCUUAACUCGAAAAAUACCUACCCCGUCUCGACACUAGACACAUUUAACUUGCUCAGCAAUGCAAACCAUGCAGAUUCUAUGCAGUACUAAAUAAAACUUUCUGUCUUCAAGUAAAGCUUAGUUUUCGACGCUACAUUCCUGAGUAAUGUCCAAUACAGGCAUCUGAUGUCUGAUGGUGAAGAUGGUGUACGGUGGUGUAUGAUGGUGGAAGUGUCAGAUGGUUGUCAGAUGGUUGUCAGAUGGUGUAUGAUGGUGUAUGGUGGUCGAAAUGUGUCAGAUGAUUGUCAGCUUGUGUAUGAUGGUGUAUGAUGGUCGAAGUUUGUCAGAUGGUGUCAGAUGGUGUAUGAUGGGGUAGGGUGGUUAUACAGGAAAGGGUUGUCAGAUAGUGAAGAUGGUACAGAUGGUGUAUGAUGGUCGAAGUGUGUGAGAUGGUUGUCAGAUGGUGUAUGAUGGUCGAAGUGUGUCAGAUGGUUGUCGGAUGGUGUAUGAUGGUGUAGGGUGGUUAUACAGGGAAGGAUUGUCAGAUGGUGAAGAUGGUACAGAUGGUGUAUGAUGGUCGAAGUGUGUCAGAUGGUUGUCAGAUGGUGUAUGAUGGUGUAUGAUGGUCGAAGUGUGUCAGAUGGUUGUCGGAUGGUGUAUGAUGGUGUAGGGUGGUUAUACAGGGAAGGGUUGUCAGAUGGUGAAGAUGGUACAGAUGGUGUAUGAUGGUAGAAGUGUGUCAGAUGGUUGUCGGAUGGUGUAUGAUGGUGUAGGGUGGUUAUACAGGGAAGGAUUGUCAGAUGGUGAAGAUGGUACAGAUGGUGUAUG